AUGGCUCGGAAAGAAGUUGACAUCCACUUGAAGGAAGUAGGGUAUAUCAACUGCUAUGCAUUUUUCAUGGCCUACCUGUUGAUGGCCAUUAGGGGGCUGGGCUACCUCGUCAUUACCUGGUCCACCGUCGUUCUCCUAGGCGGCUUUGUCUCGGAUCUGGGGAAGAAGGACUUUUGGUCCCUCACCAUCAUCACCCUCGCCCUAACACCUCGGGUCUCUGCUGAUGUCGGUCUGAAGGAGAAGCUAAUGGAUAUUUGGUACUCGUUCCAUGGCCUCUACCGUACUAUAUUUGCCACGCUGGACACCAAAAAUUCUAUCACCCUAGCAUAUUGGCCACGCGGACUGCUAGCAGUUGUUGUGUGGUUGUGUCACCUGCUCGUGGCUCCUAUAGUAGUGGGCCCUCUAGCAGCUCUCUACGUGUGUGGGCCGCUGUUGAGCGCCGGGAUUUCUGUGUGGCGUCUAAUAGAACAUGACUACGGCGACGUCAUGAAGGAAGAAGGUUGCUGCAACUGCAUGAAGGAUGAAGAUUCACACCUGCAGCCGGCUCUGAAUGUCUUGUACACACUAGCUCUGUUGCAGGGUUUGCUCUUCUGUUACAGGUUUUACGCGUCUUUUGCGCGAAAAAGGCUAGUGCGUGAUGUCGCGAAAGAGUACAACAUGAGCAAUGACGAACAAUUGGUGAAGGCUGUGAAGAAGUACCUGAGUGAGACGGUGAGCAGGUGCGAGAAGGACCCGGCUUUCUUCAAGGAAACAAAUCUGGCCACGUACGCCGUUGGAAUGAUCAAGUCCAUCGAAUCAUUGGAAAGCUUCGUUUCUGGGGCAAGGAUUCUGGACGUCCUCUUGAACUACGCCCUCACCGUAAAGGACAAGCGACCGCGCAGACUCACGGAAGAGAAGCAGAAGGCGCUCACAACAGACCUCAUAGGUUUGGCGUCCACCAGCCAUGUAGUCAAGAAAUUGCUGCAGGCGAUGGAUUCCACAAGCCCACACGGCGUGGCAAUGAGGGGGAUUGCCGCCAACAUAUUGGCGAACAUUGCCGGCAGGACUCCUCUGAUGCAAUUCCCACAAGUGAUCCAGAGCGUAGGCUCGCUGAUCGACAUCUCUCAGCAGCAACUUGAAGGGGAAUGUGCCGUCGCCAAGCUCCAAAGUGGACUACAGGAAGCUGAAAACUACAGGAAGCUGCUUAUGGAGAAAGGCUUCGAUAUCCUUCACAAGCUCGCCGCCGACAAAGAAAACUGCAGAGCCAUAAGCAACUCCCAGGGCCUACGGUCCAAGGCUGUGGCGCCUGUACGCUCCGACCUGCUACAUCUCAUGGACCAUGAGGCAUGGUCGACCACCAUCGUAGACAAGUCGCUGCAAGUCAUGGCCAGCCUCGUGGCUUCUCCGGGAGAGACUGGUGCCCAGCUGCGUAACCAAAUCUCAAGUGACAAGGAAGUGAUCCAUGGCAUGGAGAGGAUCCUAAGAUGCUGUGGAUGCAGUGAACAUGUUCGCAUAUUAAGCAUUGAGAUUCUCACGCACCUGGCCAUGGAUGAGGAGGAGUCACUGCGUGUCAACAAGGAAAGCAGAGAAAAUUUUAUCAGGAUGCUCCCUUCCAUCCUCACUGAUGACGCCAAAGAAUGCUCCAUUAGAGAAUUGGCGGGUGAAGCACUGGUGAUGCUAAGUCAAAGUAAAAGCGACGCUGCCAUCAUCUUGAAGGCCAACGAUCAUGUUGUCCGUGAUCUCACUAAAAUCCUUUGA
rnacentral:rRNA from 1 species